GUGCUCCCUUCGGCGGCUCAUACACUAGAAUUGACACCAUACAGAGAUUGGCCCGGCCCUGGCGCAAGGAUGACAGACAAAUCUAUGAAGCAUUCCAUAUUUAA